rnacentral:rRNA from 3 species
CCAACAGGGAUUGCUCUAGUAACGGCGAGUGAAGCAGCAAUAGCUCAAAUUUGAAAUCUGGCGUCUUCGACGUCCGAGUUGUAAUUUGUAGAGGAUGCUUCUGAGUAACCACCGACCUAAGUUCCUUGGAACAGGACGUCAUAGAGGGUGAGAAUCCCGUAUGCGGUCGGAAAGGUGCUCUAUACGUAGCUCCUUCGACGAGUCGAGUUGUUUGGGAAUGCAGCUCUAAAUGGGAGGUAAAUUUCUUCUAAAGCUAAAUAUUGGCCAGAGACCGAUAGCGCACAAGUAGAGUGAUCGAAAGAUGAAAAGCACUUUGGAAAGAGAGUUAAAAAGCACGUGAAAUUGUUAAAAGGGAAGGGAUUGCAACCAGACUUGCUCGCGGUGUUCCGCCGGUCUUCUGACCGGUCUACUCGCCGCGUUGCAGGCCAGCAUCGUCUGGUGCCGCUGGAUAAGACUUGAGGAAUGUAGCUCCUUCGGGAGUGUUAUAGCCUCUUGUGAUGCAGCGAGCGCCGGGCGAGGUCCGCGCUUCGGCUAGGAUGCUGGCGUAAUGGUCGUAAUCCGCCC